GAUGAAGAACGCAGCGAAAUGCGAUAAGUAAUGUGAAUUGCAGAAUUCAGUGAACCAUCGAAUCUUUGAACGCACAUUGCGCCCGGCAGUAAUCUGCCGGGCAUGCCUGUCCGAGCGUCAUUUCUCCCCUCGAGCGCAGCUUUCCCCCCCGGGGGAGGGCCGCGCCCGGUGUUGGGGCGCUACGGAGGAGCCCAGCGCUCCCCCGUAGGCCCCGAAAUGUAGUGGCGGCCCCGCCGCGGCGCCCCCUGCGUAGUAGUUUUACAACUCGCAUCGGGUCCCGGCGGAGGCCAGCCGUCAAACCCCCCAACUUCAAUAGUUUGACCCCGGAUCAGGUAGGGUUACCCGCUGAACUUAAGCAUAUCAAUAAGCGGAGGA
rnacentral:misc_RNA from 1 species